rnacentral:rRNA from 1 species
GAUGAACGCUGGCGGCGUGCCUAAUACAUGCAAGUCGAGCGAACAGACGAGAGUGCUUGCACUCUCUGACGUUAGCGGCGGACGGGUGAGUAACACGUGGGUAACCUACCUAUAAGACUGGGAUAACUUCGGGAAACCGGAGCUAAUACCGGAUAAUAUUUAGCUUCGCAUGAAGCAAUAGUGAAAGACGGUUCUGCUGUCACUUAUAGAUGGACCCGCGGUGUAUUAGCUAGUUGGUGAGGUAACGGCUCACCAAGGCAACGAUACAUAGCCGACCUGAGAGGGUGAUCGGCCACACUGGGACUGAGACACGGCCCAGACUCCUACGGGAGGCAGCAGUAGGGAAUCUUCCGCAAUGGACGAAAGUCUGACGGAGCAAUGCCGCGUGAGUGAAGAAGGUUUUCGGAUCGUAAAACUCUGUUGUAAGGGAAGAGCAAGUACGUUAGUAACUGAACGUACCUUGACGGUACCUUACCAGAAAGCCACGGCUAACUACGUG